UACGGAAGGCAGCAGUGGGGAAUAUUGCACAAUGGGCGAAAGCCUGAUGCCGCUAUGCCGCGUGUAUGAAGAAGGCCUUAGGGUUGUAAAGUACUUUCAUCGGGGAGGAAAAAACAAAACUAAUAAUUUUAUUUCUUGACGUUACCCGAAAAAGAAGCACCGGCUAACUCCGUGCCAGCAGCCGCGGUAAUACGGAGGGUGCUAGCGUUAAUCAGAAUUACUGGGCGUAAAGAGCACGUAGGUGGUUUUUUUAAGUCAGAUGUGAAAUCCCUGGGCUUAACCUGGAACUGCAUUUUGAAACUGAAAUACUAGAGUAUCGUAGAGGGAGGUAGAAUUCUAGGUGUAGCGGUGAAAUGCGUAGAUAUCUGGAGGAAUACCUGUGGCGAAAGCGGCCUCCUAAACGAAUACUGACACUGAGGUGCGAAAGCGUGGGGAGCAAACAGGGAUUAGAUACC
rnacentral:rRNA from 1 species